rnacentral:rRNA from 1 species
GGACUACCAGGGUUUCUAAUCCUGUUUGCUCCCCUAGCUUUCGCAGCUCAGCGUCAGUAAUGUGCCAGGUGCCUGCUUUCGCCAUAGGUGUUCCUCCCGAUCUCUACGCAUUUCACCGCUACACCGGGAAUUCCAGCACCCUCUCACACACUCAAGCCCGGCAGUAUCUAUUGACCCCUUCCAGUUAAGCCGGAAGAUUUCACAAUAGACUCACCGAACCGCCUACCUGCCCUUUACGCCUAGUAAUUCCGAGUAACGCUAGCCACCUUCGUCUUACCGCGGCUGCUGGCAC